rnacentral:tRNA from 1 species
GGGUCGUUAGCUCAGUUGGUAGAGCAGUUGGCUUUUAACCAAUUGGUCGUAGGUUCGAAUCCUACACGGCCCACCA